rnacentral:rRNA from 1 species
CACGCCGUAAACGAUGAGUGCUAGGUGUCGGGGGGGAACCCUCGGUGCCGCAGCUAACGCAAUAAGCACUCCACCUGGGGAGUACGAUCGCAAGAUUGAAACUCAAAGGAAUUGACGGGGGCCCGCACAAGCGGUGGAGCAUGUGGUUUAAUUCGAAGCAACGCGCAGAACCUUACCAACCCUUGACAUCGGGAUCGCGGAUUACAGAGAUGUUUUCCUUCAGUUCGGCUGGAUCCCAGACAGGUGC